UACGAAGGGGGCUAGCGUUGUUCGGAAUUACUGGGCGUAAAGCGCCCGUAGGCGGAUCGAUCAGUCAGGGGUGAAAUCCCAGAGCUCAACUCUGGAACUGCCUUUGAUACUGUCGAUCUAGAGUAUGGAAGAGGUGAGUGGAAUUCCGAGUGUAGAGGUGAAAUUCGUAGAUAUUCGGAGGAACACCAGUGGCGAAGGCGGCUCACUGGUCCAUUACUGACGCUGAGGCACGAAAGCGUGGGGAGCAAACAGG
rnacentral:rRNA from 1 species